GGUCGUAUGGAAAUUCUUCGGCAGACGGCAGAUAUCAGGUUCAUCCCGUGCGACGCCGCUUCUACGCGCGACGCCGACGUCUCGAACGCGCCGCAAACGUAGACGACGGCAUUCCACGGCGCUGCGAAGCCAGCGAAGCGUCUUCGGCAUCGACACCGGACUCCGGACUCAAAAGAGAAGAACGCACUCGGCGACGGAACUCCGCCGCUCCCAACACGGAUUGAUAGGUGCCAAUGCGGUUGCUGCAUGCCGAUGGAGAUCGUCGUCAGGUUGUCUGCCGCCGGGUGUACCCUGCCGCCGUACGCAAGCAGCAGGGCCGGCGCGCUGCGUGACGAGCCACUUGGAUUUCGACUCGCUGUGCCUCAGCCGGGUGUGCUAUGACUCGCUUUACACAAUAGACGCCACUAUGGGCAGAAGAAAAUGCGGGGCGACAAGGAACAACUGCGAGCCGAGGAUGAGGACUCCUCCAGCGACACGGAGUCGGAGUUGGGCUUCGGUCCGUCGUCGAUUGAGAUCCUGGCCCUCAAUGACCCUGCAGUGACCGUAUGUCUACCGCCCUCGAGUUGGUGAUGGAGCAUUUAGCAGCCGUCACGGGCGGGACCGGCGGCCAGCGGCAGCGCGAGCCAGAGGAACUCGACGACCGCAAGUUCGUCGCCGACUUCGUGGUGGUGCUGGGCGUCUACGCAAGAGCGUCGAGCGCCUCGGACGCGUAGCGCCUCGGAUGCCUACGUGCUGAAGCGGAUCUUCCCACUUGCCUUGCCGGCGAGUGCGAGACGAUGGUCCUUCCCACUCAGGACGAAGAUGCAUUGGUGCGAAUAACUGGCAUUGUGGCCGACUGAUGUUGGGGAGCUCCAUCUACAGGUGUGUGAGAAACUUGCAAAACAAAGGGUAGGCCGCACCGAGAGCAACGGUAGGUACGACUCAUAUUUGCUGAGAGAGAAUGGACUUUUUCUCAGCUACAUUUUUCAAGCAGACGAUGCCGCCCAUGGCUCGCCUUUCAGGAUUGUGAAACUCCGAACGCUGCUCAUCAGUCACUUCCAUGAUUCAGCCUCAUCAGGUCACAGCAGCAACAGUAUUACUUGCAAUAAGUUACGUCAUGUCGAGACUUGAUCAGGAAUCGGGCAGGAUAUACUGAAGUAUGCCCACACUUGUCCAGGAUGUCAGAAGUCAAAGUCACGCGAAGGUCUCCUACCAGGAUUUAUGCAACCAAUCGUGCUUCUGGUACGCUGCCUAUAGGCAGUGGAUGCUAUGGUUGUGACUGCGACUGGGGCAGAGCAACAGGCGACCACUUGCCUGUAUGGUGAAAACAAUGGGGAACUGACCGCCAGCGACACAUUUUCCGGGUUCCCGUGCCCUGAUUGUGCGACUGAAUAAAAGUGUUUUUCUUAUACUGGGUAUAGAACCAUGUUUUUCUCACCACAAAAGUAAACAUUG